rnacentral:rRNA from 1 species
GAUGAACGCUAGCGGCAGGCCUAACACAUGCAAGUCGAGGGAGAAGCCCUUUCGGGGGCAGAAACCGGCGCACGGGUGCGUAACGCGUAUGCAACCUCCCUUUCACAGGGGGAUAGCCCGAAGAAAUUUGGAUUAAUACCCCAUAAUAUUAUUGGAUGGCAUCAUUUGAUAAUUAAAACUGCGGUGGUGAAAGAUGGGCAUGCGUCCUAUUAGCUAGUUGGAGUGGUAACGGCACCCCAAGGCUACGAUAGGUAGGGGUCCUGAGAGGGAGAUCCCCCACACUGGUACUGAGACAGGGACCAGACUCCUACGGGAGGCAGCAGUGAGGAAUAUUGGUAAAUGGUCGGAAGACUGAACCAGCCAUGCCGCGUGCAGGAAGAAUGACUUAUGGGUUGUAAACUGCUUUUAUAUGGGAAGAAUAAGGCGUACGUGUACGUUGAUGACGGUACAAUAUGAAUAAGCAUCGGCUAACUCCGUG